AGGACGAACGCUGGCGGCGUGCUUAACACAUGCAAGUCGAGCGGUAAGGCCUUUCGGGGUACACGAGCGGCGAACGGGUGAGUAACACGUGGGUGAUCUGCCCUGCACUCUGGGAUAAGCCUGGGAAACUGGGUCUAAUACCGGAUAUGACCUGCUCUCGCAUGGGGGUGGUGGAAAGAUUUAUCGGUGCAGGAUGGGCCCGCGGCCUAUCAGCUUGUUGGUGGGUAAUGGCGUACCAAGGCGACGACGGGUACGGCCGACCUGAGGAGGGUCGGACCGGCCGACGACGUGGGAACUAGAGACACGGCCCAGACUCCGUACGGGAGGCAGCGAGGUGGGAA
rnacentral:rRNA from 1 species